rnacentral:piRNA from 1 species
UCCAGCCGUGUGUCACACUGCCCAGGGCA